rnacentral:rRNA from 1 species
GACGAACGCUGGCGGCGUGCUUAACACAUGCAAGUCGAACGGAAAGGCCCUGCUUUUGUGGGGUGCUCGAGUGGCGAACGGGUGAGUAACACGUGAGUAACCUGCCCUUGACUUUGGGAUAACUUCAGGAAACUGGGGCUAAUACCGGAUAGGAGCUCCUGCUGCAUGGUGGGGGUUGGAAAGUUUCGGCGGUUGGGGAUGGACUCGCGGCUUAUCAGCUUGUUGGUGGGGUAGUGGCUUACCAAGGCUUUGACGGGUAGCCGGCCUGAGAGGGUGACCGGCCACAUUGGGACUGAGAUACGGCCCAGACUCCUACGGGAGGCAGCAGUGGGGAAUAUUGCACAAUGGGCGGAAGCCUGAUGCAGCAACGCCGCGUGCGGGAUGACGGCCUUCGGGUUGUAAACCGCUUUCGCCUGUGACGAAGCGUGAGUGACGGUAAUGGGUAAAGAAGCACCGGCUAACUACGUGCCAGCAGCCGCGGUGAUACGUAGGGUGCGAGCGUUGUCCGGAUUUAUUGGGCGUAAAGGGCUCGUAGGUGGUUGAUCGCGUCGGAAGUGUAAUCUUGGGGCUUAACCCUGAGCGUGCUUUCGAUACGGGGUGACUUGAGGAAGGUAGGGGAGAAUGGAAUUCCUGGUGGAGCGGUGGAAUGCGCAGAUAUCAGGAGGAACACCAGUGGCGAAGGCGGUUCUCUGGGGCCUUUCCUGACGCUGAGGAGCGAAAGCGUGGGGAGCGAACAGGCUUAGAUACCCUGGUAGUCCACGCUGUAAACGGUGGGUACUAGGUGUGGGGUCCAUUCCACGGGUUCCGUGCCGUAGCUAACGCUUUAAGUACCCCGCCUGGGGAGUACGGCCGCAAGGCUAAAACUCAAAGGAAUUGACGGGGCCCCGCACAAGCGGCGGAGCAUGCGGAUUAAUUCGAUGCAACGCGUAGAACCUUACCUGGGUUUGACAUGGAUCGGGAGUGCUCAGAGAUGGGUGUGCCUCUUUUGGGGUCGGUCCACAGGUGGUGCAUGGCUGUCGUCAGCUCGUGUCGUGAGAUGUUGGGUUAAGUCCCGCAACGAGCGCAACCCUUGUUCACUGUUGCCAGCACGUUAUGGUGGGGACUCAGUGGAGACCGCCGGGGUCAACUCGGAGGAAGGUGGGGAUGACGUCAAGUCAUCAUGCCCCUUAUGUCCAGGGCUUCACGCAUGCUACAAUGGCUGGUACAGAGAGUGGCGAGCCUGUGAGGGUGAGCGAAUCUCGGAAAGCCGGUCUCAGUUCGGAUUGGGGUCUGCAACUCGACCUCAUGAAGUCGGAGUCGCUAGUAAUCGCAGAUCAGCAACGCUGCGGUGAAUACGUUCCCGGG